GCCAGACUCCUACGGGAGGCAGCAGUGAGGAAUAUUGGUCAAUGGGCGGGAGCCUGAGCCAGCCAAGUCGCGUGAGGGAUUAAGGCCCUGCGGGUCGUAAACCUCUUUUGCCGGGGAGCAGAGGUCCGGACGUGUCCGGGCCGGGAGAGUACCCGGAGAAAAAGCAUCGGCUAACUCCGUGCCAGCAGCCGCGGUAAUACGGAGGAUGCGAGCGUUAUCCGGAUUUAUUGGGUUUAAAGGGUGCGUAGGCGGGCAUUUAAGCCGGCGGUCAAAUGUCGGGGCUCAACCCCGGCCUGCCGUCGGAACUGGGCGCCUUGAGUGGGCGAGAAGUAUGCGGAAUGCGUGGUGUAGCGGUGAAAUGUAUAGAUAUCACGCAGAACCCCGAUUGCGAAGGCAGCAUACCGGCGCCCUACUGACGCUGAGGCACGAAAGUGCGGGUAUCGAACAGGAUUAGAUACCCCAGUAA
rnacentral:rRNA from 1 species